UACGAAGGGGGCAAGCGUUGUCCGGAAUCAUUGGGCGUAAAGCGCGUGUAGGCGGUUCGGUAAGUCUGCUGUGAAAGUCCAGGGCUCAACCCUGGGAUGCCGGUGGAUACUGUCGGGCUAGAGUGCGGAAGAGGCGAGUGGAAUUCCUGGUGUAGCGGUGAAAUGCGCAGAUAUCAGGAAGAACACCGAUUGCGAAGGCAGCUCGCUGGGACGUCACUGACGCUGAGACGCGAAAGUGUGGGGAGCGAACAGG
rnacentral:rRNA from 1 species